rnacentral:rRNA from 1 species
GUGGGGAAUUUUGGACAAUGGGCGCAAGCCUGAUCCAGCAAUGCCGCGUGCAGGAAGAAGGCCUUCGGGUUGUAAACUGCUUUUGUACGGAACGAAAAGACUCCUUCUAAUAAAGGGGGUCCAUGACGGUACCGUAAGAAUAAGCACCGGCUAACUACGUGCCAGCAGCCGCGGUAAUACGUAGGGUGCAAGCGUUAAUCGGAAUUACUGGGCGUAAAGCGUGCGCAGGCGGUUAUAUAAGACAGAUGAGAAAUCCCCGGGCUCAACCUGGGAACUGCAUUUGUGACUGUAUAGCUAGAGUACGGUAGAGGGGGAUGGAAUUCCGCGUGUAGCAGUGAAAUGCGUAGAUAUGCGGAGGAACACCGAUGGCGAAGGCAAUCCCCUGGACCUGUACUGACGCUCAUGCACGAAAGCGUGGGGAGCAAACAGGAUUAGAAACCCUUGUAGUCC